rnacentral:misc_RNA from 1 species
GAUGAAGAACGCAGCGAAAUGCGAUAAGUAAUGUGAAUUGCAGAAUUCAGUGAAUCAUCGAAUCUUUGAACGCACAUUGCGCCCCCUGGUAUUCCGGGGGGCAUGCCUGUCCGAGCGUCAUUAUAACCCUCAAGCUCAGCUUGGUGUUGGGCCCCGCCGCCCCGGCGGGCCCUAAAGUCAGUGGCGGUGCCGUCCGGCUCCGAGCGUAGUAAUUCUUCUCGCUCUGGAGGUCCGGUCGUGUGCUUGCCAGCAACCCCCAAUUUUUUUCAGGUUGACCUCGGAUCAGGUAGGGAUACCCGCUGAACUUAAGCAUAUCAAUAAGCGGAGGA